rnacentral:rRNA from 1 species
GACGAACGCUGGCGGCGUGCCUAAUACAUGCAAGUCGAACGCUUUUUCUUUCACCGGAGCUUGCUCCACCGAAAGAAAAAGAGUGGCGAACGGGUGAGUAACACGUGGGUAACCUGCCCAUCAGAAGGGGAUAACACUUGGAAACAGGUGCUAAUACCGUAUAACACUAUUUUCCGCAUGGAAUAAAGUUGAAAGGCGCUUUUGCGUCACUGAUGGAUGGACCCGCGGUGCAUUAGCUAGUUGGUGAGGUAACGGCUCACCAAGGCAACGAUGCAUAGCCGACCUGAGAGGGUGAUCGGCCACACUGGGACUGAGACACGGCCCAGACUCCUACGGGAGGCAGCAGUAGGGAAUCUUCGGCAAUGGACGAAAGUCUGACCGAGCAACGCCGCGUGAGUGAAGAAGGUUUUCGGAUCGUAAAACUCUGUUGUUAGAGAAGAACAAGGAUGAGAGUAAAACGUUCAUCCCUUGACGGUAUCUAACCAGAAAGCCACGGCUAACUACGUGCCAGCAGCCGCGGUAA